ensembl:lncRNA
AAAUAUGUUCAUUUGCUUCUGUUGCACCUAAUAGCUUGUUCAUGUGGCAUUAUUUGAGCAUGUCAUGUUUUCAAAGAAGGCAGAAUCACUGAAAUCCUGUUUGCAGCAUCAAGCAGAAUUUUCUUGGUGGAAAUCAGAAUCUUGUACUAUGGUGGUUCAAAUAUGUUUCCAGCUUCUACACCAGUGCUUCUACCUGCCUAGGAUAGUGAGGUUUUUAAUUAGCUUUAGAAAGGACUGACUGAAAAAAGCAAACAAUCUCUGUCUUUCAGAGCAUUCCUGCAAUUAAAAACUUAAAAGCCAAGUCGGUUCUUCCCAAGUAAAUCAUAAUUACUCAAGGACCCACUACUUCUAUCCUGUAAUGUAUAUGCCUAUGGCUGAUCCCUCAUUUUUCACUUCUUUAACAACAUAUAGUUUACAUUUAUAUUAUUAUACAGCUUAGAUAUCUACUCUGUCAUGAAAUAACUGCAUAAAAUGCAUAUUGUAGUUACCAGUAAUCUGAAGUUGAAUUGAGGGCAUGAGAAAUGCACUGAAGAGGGCAAAUUGUGUUAUGGUAUUUUAAAAUGCUCUUUGGAUUUGAAUGAUCUUGGUUUGGGUCUGUACUGUGCCUAGUGCAAAAUGGAAAAGUGAAUCCCGAUUAUAUCAUAAUCUCUGAACCACUGUUGCAGCCAAUGCUAGUUAGUGUUCAUGAAGGAAAUGACCAAGUUUGACAUUUGCAACAAAAAGUAGGAAACAAUUGCUUGAAAUUUGAAUUUGGGAGACAAAAGGUCAAGUUCUGAUCCAGAUGGAAAAGACUUGGAAUCCAUAUGCUGUAUUCACCAGAUCAUUCUACGACAUGCAACUGGCACAGCUAUAUGCCCACUCUUAGUACUUUAGAUCCUAGUGGUAAGAUAUCAGAAAGACUGGCUGUGUGAAUCUUCCUUCAGAAUAGGUUUGGGGUGAGAAAAUGAGGAGAUACUUAGUUCAUUUUCUAAGUACACAGCAGCAGAACUGAGAUAAGGUGGGAACUCAGACUCCUCAAGGAUGUGCAUAUGCAGAGCAGGAAAUUUGAGAGUGUUGAUAAUAACGCAACUACUGCUAAAAGCCAACACUUAAGAGGCAACAUCUCAUAGAAAAUCAAGCUAAGCACUCAGUCUUCAAAUAUUUGGUUUGUAAGUUUGGGGUUAACAGUAUCAGUUAAGAGCGCAGCUUUUUAAUCCUAAAUUUAUACCUAAAGAUUUGAUACAACAUGCUGAAACAGGUUUUGGGAUUGCAAACCACUACUGUCUUAGCCAAGGAGGAAAUAACCAUCACUUAAG